rnacentral:rRNA from 1 species
GAGUUUGAUCGUGGCUCAGAUUGAACGCUGGCGGCAUGCCUUACACAUGCAAGUCGAACGGCAGCACGGGAGCUUGCUCCUGGUGGCGAGUGGCGAACGGGUGAGUAAUGCAUCGGAACGUAUCCUGGAGUGGGGGAUAACGUAGCGAAAGUUACGCUAAUACCGCAUAUUCUGUGAGCAGGAAAGCGGGGGACCUUCGGGCCUCGCGCUCUUGGAGCGGCCGAUGUCGGAUCAGCUAGUUGGUGAGGUAAAGGCUCACCAAGGCGACGAUCCGUAGCAGGUCUGAGAGGAUGAUCUGCCACACUGGAACUGAGACACGGUCCAGACUCCUACGGGAGGCAGCAGUGGGGAAUUUUGGACAAUGGGGGCAACCCUGAUCCAGCCAUGCCGCGUGAGUGAAGAAGGCCU